UGGGGUAUAGUUCAGUGGUAGAGCACUUGCCUAGCAUGAGCAAGGUCCUGGGUUCACUCCCCAGCACCACAC
rnacentral:tRNA from 1 species